AACGAACGCUGGCGGCAGGCCUAACACAUGCAAGUCGAGCGCCCAGCAAUGGGAGCGGCGGACGGGUGAGUAACACGUGGGAAUAUGCCUUUCGGUUCGGCACAACUCAGGGAAACUUGAGCUAAUUCCGGAUACGCCCUUACGGGGAAAGAUUUAUCGCCGAAAGAUUAGCCCGCGUUGGAUUAGCUAGUUGGUGAGGUAACGGCCCACCAAGGCGACGAUCCAUAGCUGGUUUGAGAGAACGACCAGCCACACUGGGACUGAGACACGGCCCAGACUCCUACGGGAGCAGCAGUGGGGAAUCUUGGACAAUGGGGGAAACCCUGAUCCAGCCAUGCCGCGUGAGUGAUGAAGG
rnacentral:rRNA from 1 species